GGGAAUCCGACUGUUGAAUUAAAACAAAACACGGCUUAGGCUGCUGUGGGUAUUGACGUCUUGUGAUUUCUGUGCAGGGCACUGAAUGUCAAAGUGAAGGAAUUCAGUGAAGCCCGGAUCAAGGGCAGGAGCAACCGUGACCCUCUUAAAAGAGCCAAUGCCCCAUGUAAUUAGUGACGCGCGCGAAUGGAUAGACGGUAUUCCC
rfam:Pongo abelii chromosome 19.